rnacentral:hammerhead_ribozyme from 1 species
GCACUGAUGACGAGUCCCAAGCAGGACGAAACAGCUGUCCAGUAC